UACGAAGGGGGCUAGCGUUGCUCGGAAUCACUGGGCGUAAAGCGCACGUAGGCGGACUUUUAAGUCAGGGGUGAAAUCCUGGAGCUCAACUCCAGAACUGCCUUUGAUACUGAGAAGCUUGAGUCCGGGAGAGGUGAGUGGAACUGCGAGUGUAGAGGUGAAAUUCGUAGAUAUUCGCAAGAACACCAGUGGCGAAGGCGGCUCACUGGCCCGGUACUGACGCUGAGGUGCGAAAGCGUGGGGAGCAAACAGG
rnacentral:rRNA from 1 species